GAUGAACGCUAGCGGCAGGCUUAAUACAUGCAAGUCGAGGGGCAGCAUGAUUGUAGCAAUACAAUUGAUGGCGACCGGCAAACGGGUGCGGAACACGUACACAACCUCCCAAUAAGUGGGGAAUAGCCCAGAGAAAUUUGGAUUAAUACCCCGUAACAUAGCGAUGUGGCAUCACAUUGCUAUUAUAGAUUUUUCGCUUAUUGAUGGGUGUGCGGCUGAUUAGAUAGUUGGCGGGGUAACGGCCCACCAAGUCUACGAUCAGUAGCUGAUGUGAGAGCAUGAUCAGCCACACGGGCACUGAGACACGGGCCCGACUCCUACGGGAGGCAGCAGUAAGGAAUAUUGGACAAUGGACGCAAGUCUGAUCCAGCCAUGCCGCGUGAAAGGAUUAAGGGUCCUCUGGAUUGUAAACUUCUUUUCUCAGAGAAGAAAUUUUGACGGUAUCUGAGGAAUAAGCAUCGGCUAACU
rnacentral:rRNA from 1 species